GAUGAAGAACGCAGCGAAAUGCGAUACGUAAUGUGAAUUGCAGAAUUCAGUGAAUCAUCGAAUCUUUGAACGCAUAUUGCGCUCUCUGGUAUUCCGGAGAGCAUGCUUGUUUGAGUAUCAGUAAACACCUCAACUUCCAUAUCUUUUUUUGAAAUGGGAGUUGGACUUGAGUGAUCCCAACGCUUUUCCUCACCGAAAAGUGGCGGGUUACUUGAAAUGCAGGUGCAGCUGGACGUUUCUCUGAGCUAUAAGCAUAUCUAUUUAGUCUGCCUAAAAAACAGAUUAUUACCUUUGCUGCAGCUAACAUAAAGGAGAUUAGUUCUUGUGCUGACUGAUGCAGGAUUCACAAAGACAGCUUCGGCCGACUUUGUAAACUCGAUCUCAAAUCAAGUAAGACUACCCGCUGAACUUAAGCAUAUCAAUAAGCGGAGGA
rnacentral:misc_RNA from 1 species